UUGACCUCAAAUCGGGUGAGACUACCCGCUGAACUUAAGCAUAUCAAUANNNNNNNNNNNNNNNNNNNNNNNNGAUUCCCCUAGUAACUGCGAGUGAAGCGGGAAAAGCUCAAAUUUAAAAUCUGGCGGUCUCUGGCCGUCCGAGUUGUAAUUUAGAGAAGCGUCUUCCGCGCCGGACCGUGCACAAGUCUCCUGGAAUGGAGCGUCAUAGAGGGUGAGAAUCCCGUCUUUGGCACGGAUGCCCGGUGCUUCUGUGAUGCGCUCUCGAAGAGUCGAGUUGUUUGGGAAUGCAGCUCAAAAUGGGUGGUGAACUCCAUCUAAAGCUAAAUAUUGGCGAGAGACCGAUAGCGAACAAGUACCGUGAGGGAAAGAUGAAAAGCACUUUGGAAAGAGAGUGAAACAGUACGUGAAAUUGUUGAAAGGGAAACGCUUGAAGUCAGUCGCGUCGACCGAGACUCAGCCUCGCCUUGGCUUGGUGUACUUCUCGGCCCGACGGGUCAGUGUCAAUUUUGCCCCUCGGAUAAUGGCAAGGGAAAGGUGGCACCUUUACGGGUGUGUUAUAGUCUCCUGUCGCAUGCGAGGGGUGGGAUUGAGGAACUCAGCGCGCACCUUGGUGUCGGGGCUUCUGCCCACGUCACGCGCUUAGGAUGCUGGCGUAAUGGCUUUAAACGACCCGUCUUGAAACACGGACCAAGGAGUCCAACACGCCCGCGAGUGUUCGGGUGGAAAACCCGUGCGCGUAAUGAAAGUGAAAGUUGGGACCUCUGUCGUGGAGGGCACCGACGCCCGGACCAGACCUUCUGUGACGGAUCUGCGGUAGAGCGUGUGCGUUGGGACCCGAAAGAUGGUGAACUAUGCCUGAAUAGGGUGAAGCCAGAGGAAACUCUGGUGGAGGCUCGUAGCGAUUCUGACGUGCAAAUCGAUCGUCAAAUUUGGGUAUAGGGGCGAAAGACUAAUCGA
rnacentral:rRNA from 1 species